UACGGAGGGUGCAAGCGUUAUCCGGAUUCACUGGGUUUAAAGGGUGCGUAGGUGGGUUGGUAAGUCAGUGGUGAAAUCUCCGUGCUUAACAUGGAAACUGCCAUUGAUACUACUGAUCUUGAAUUUUCUGGAGGUAAGCGGAAUAUGUCAUUUAGCGGUGAAAUGCUUAGAUAUGACAUAGAACACCAAUUGCGAAGGCAGCUUGCUACAGGGAUAUUGACACUGAGGCACGAAAGCGUGGGGAUCAAACAGG
rnacentral:rRNA from 1 species